GACGAACGCUGGCGGCGUGCUUAACACAUGCAAGUCGAACGGAAAGGCCCUGCUUUUGUGGGGUGCUCGAGUGGCGAAAGGGUGAGUAACACGUGAGUAACCUGCCCUUGACUUUGGGAUAACUUCAGGAAACUGGGGCUAAUACCGGAUAGGAGCUCCUGCUGCAUGGUGGGGGUUGGAAAGUUUCGGCGGUUGGGGAUGGACUCGCGGCUUAUCAGCUUGUUGGUGGGGUAGUGGCUUACCAAGGCUUUGACGGGUAGCCGGCCUGAGAGGGUGACCGGCCACAUGGGGACUGAGAUACGGCCCAGACGCCGACGGGAGGCAGCAGUGGGGAAUAUUGCACAAUGGGCGGAAGCCUGAUGCAGCAACGCCGCGUGCGGGAUGACGGCCUUCGGGUUGUAAGCCGCUUUCGCCUGUGACGAAGCGUGAGUGACGGUAAUGGGUAAAGAAGCACCGGCUAACUACGUG
rnacentral:rRNA from 1 species